CUCUCUCUCCCCUCUCUCUCUCUUUUCCUCCUGUUCUCUAUCUUCUCCUUUUUUCUUCCUUCCCUCUGCCUUUCUCUUCGGUAAAUUAGCCUGAAAUAAUUCAUACAGAGGAAGGUAUUGAAGGCAAAUCGGUGAGCUGCUUUGUGUGAAGUGGCUGCCGCUGUCACACCCCAAGCAUUCGUUGCUCCGGGAAUGCAGCUUGCCGGAAGGAAGCAAUCCCAACUGUCUUUCAACCUGAAGGACUGAUGGAACUGUUCUCCAUGAACGAUUGACUCCAGAGAAAGAAAAAGAACUUCUAAGAUCAGAGCGGCCAACGGUAUCUGCUGCAUACUACAACGGGUGGUGUCAAGGAGCGUAGGACAGCUGAUGCCGGGGACUGGUUCUUGUGCCCCUCAUUCCCUGUGUCCUUGUUCUGCAAUCCCUGCCGCAGUGACGACUUCAGCCCUAGCUGAUCCCUGAGCCUCUUCCCAGCCUGUGCUGCCGACUGGCACAGCGGGUACAGCUCAUGAUCAGCUCGCCACCCCGGCUGUCUCCUGGGCAGCUGUGCCAGCACCUUGUACUGGGCAGAUGCCACCUUAGCAUUUGCUGACGCUGUGGGUCUCUCUGGGACUUGACCGUGAUACCCGCUCAACCACCCUGGAUCGGGCAACUACUCCUGCAGCUCUUGAUUGCAGAAUCACUUUUGCCGUGUAACGAAAAGGUAGGCAGCACCCUUGACUUCAUCUCGACGACGGCGGAAGGGCGUGCUGGCGUAUUUCACAGGCACGGGGAGACUGACUGACUCACGCCCCCAGCACACUACACCACAGCACUCUUCCAGUGCAGGCACCGUACGUCGGUGCCCCAGAGUCCUUUACGGGGAUGGAAUCUCAAACCCCAUUGCCCUGUUAUUUCCCCCCAAAUGCCUCUAGUUAUUUCUAACACACUCCCCCAACCCCAGCCAACAGGACUUUUGAUCCAGACAGGAGGAGAAAGGACACAUUUAUCUGACCUCCUGUCCUUCUUUUUCUCUACUCUGACAUCCAGAACUCUGGACCAAAAAGGAGGUCAUUUUCUACCUCUGCAUCCUCUCUCUUCCGAGCUCCUGUUGCAGUCACUUUCUUCUCUCUCCAGGGACCUUCUUUGUUCCAGCAGGUGUUUAUCUCUAUCUCUCCCAGGGAAAUGAGCCUUAUGCGCUAGCCCUGACAGGGAAGGUGCUUACCCUGA